rnacentral:rRNA from 1 species
AUACGUAGGUGACAAGCGUUAUCCGGAUUUACUGGGCGUAAAGGGCGUGUAGGCGGUCUUGCAAGUCAGAAGUGAAAUUCCUGAGCUCAACUCGGGCGCUGCUUCUGAAACUGCAGGACUUGAGUGCUGGAGGGGAUAGCGGAAUUCCUAGUGGAGCGGUAAAAUGCGCAGAUAUUAGGAAGAACACCGGUGGCGAAGGCGGCUAGCUGGACAGUAACUGACGCUGAUGCGCGAAAGCGUGGGGAGCAAACAGGAUUAGAUACCCUGGUAGUCUACGCCGUAAACGAUGAAUACUAGGUGUAGGGGGUAUCGACGCCCUCUGUGCCGCAGUUAACACAAUAAGUAUUCCGCCUGGGGAGUACGGCCGCAAGGUUGAAACUCAAAUGAAUUGGCGGGG